GAUAGGGCUUCCCCUUCGGGGGCAGAGUGACAGGUGGUGCAUGGUUGUCGUCAGCUCGUGUCGUGAGAUGUUGGGUUAAGUCCCGCAACGAGCGCAACCCUUGAUCUUAGUUGCCAUCAUUAAGUUGGGCACUCUAAGGUGACUGCCGGUGACAAACCGGAGGAAGGUGGGGAUGACGUCAAAUCAUCAUGCCCCUUAUGACCUGGGCUACACACGUGCUACAAUGGACGGUACAAAGAGUCGCAAGACCGCGAGGUGGAGCUAAUCUCAUAAAACCGUUCUCAGUUCGGAUUGUAGGCUGCAACUCGCCUACAUGAAGCUGGAAUCGCUAGUAAUCGCGGAUCAGCAUGCCGCGGUGAAUACGUUCCCGGGCCUUGUACACACCGCCCGUCACACCACGAGAGUUUGUAACACCCGAAGUC
rnacentral:rRNA from 1 species